UCUUUAUUUUUAGGAGGAAAAGACGGAUCUCAGCAGUCCAUGUCAAGUGAGCGAGGUGGUCCACUAGUAUUACACUGCCCCCCCCCCCCCUUGCCGACCGGCCGACGGACCCGGCUCGCCGCCCCCGUGAGCUCUCCGCAAGUAUUACGGGACUCUGCGACGAAGCCUUGACCUUUUCCACGUGAAGGCAACGGCCGAGGACUCAGGUAUAGCCUGCCACGGUGGCGUCA